UUGGACUAGCUGAGAGGAGGUGCAUGGCCGUCGUCAGUCGUACUGUGAAGCAUCCUGUUAAGUCAGGCAACGAGCGAGACCCACGCCAACAGUUGCCAGCUCGUCCUCCGGGAUGGAGGGGACACUGUUGGGACCGCCUCUGCUAAAGAGGAGGAAGGAAUGGGCAACGGUAGGUCAGCAUGCCCCGAAUUAAUUGGGCUACACGCGGGCUACAAUGGGUGGGACAAUGGGUAUCGACACCGAAAGGUGAAGGCAAUCUCCUAAACCCAUCCGUAGUUCGGAUUGAGGGCUGUAACUCGCCCUCAUGAAGCUGGAAUGCGUAGUAAUCGCGUGUCAUAAUCGCGCGGUGAAUACGUCCCUGCUCCUU
rnacentral:rRNA from 1 species